rnacentral:lncRNA from 1 species
UUUAAAUAUUAAAAGAGGGAUGGACCAAUGUGAACAGUUGCCUAGUAAUAGUAAUGAAGUAUGCUCUUCUUCUGCAUCCGCGUCCGCUUCCGCAUCAUCACCAUCACCUACUAUACCAAUAACCCAACAUCAAGCCCAAACACCUCCUCAACAUAGUGGUCUUCCACCAUUACCUCCUUUAGAGACUAGAAAAUCAUCA